rnacentral:rRNA from 1 species
GAUGAACGCUGGCGGCGUGCCUAAUACAUGCAAGUCGAGCGAACGGACGAGAAGCUUGCUUCUCUGAUGUUAGCGGCGGACGGGUAAGUAACACGUGGAUAACCUACCUAUAAGACUGGGAUAACUUCGGGAAACCGGAGCUAAUACCGGAUAAUAUUUUGAACCGCAUGGUUCAAAAGUGAAAGACGGUCUUGCUGUCACUUAUAGAUGGAUCCGGGCUGCAUGAGUUAGUUGGUAAGGUAACGACUUACCAAGGCAGCGAGGCAUAGCCGAACGGAGAGGGUGAUCGCCCACAUGAGAACUGGACCGCGGACAAGGCGACUGCGGGAGGCAGCAGUCGGGAACCGUCCGCAAUGGGCGAAAACCUGACACAGCGACCCCGCGCGAGUGAUGACGGCCUUCGGAGCGUAAAGCCCUCUUACUAGGGAAGAACAGCUGUGGCCGUAAAUGUAGAGUGCUUGACGGUACCGAAUCAAGAAGCACCGGCUAACUACGUG